UACCAGAUGAUAUCAAUUGACUACAUUAAUAAUGACAUUGCGUAUUAAACAAACUGUCUGCUUAAUCAGAUGAUCAGACCCGCGUCAGUUAUUCGUGACUUCGCUAACUUACGCCACGAGCAACACUUGAUUCUAUUAGAAAAAGCUUUUUUAAAUGUCUCACGUGACGUCUGGUAACGUUAUAUUAACUGAAAAAAAUCGCUUUAUAGUGCCACACCUUAAAGCUGACGUUUUCAGAAGAGAACCUUGUUGUUUUAAGAUCUAAUUUUGUCCAAAUUUUGUAUGACUGAUAUAAUACUUAUUUCAUUAUUGCUCUGUGUAUGUGUGACCUUCAUCAUCUGAGGUUAUGUGUUGAUUUCACCUCUGAAUAUUUCCUCUUAUAGGUCCAUCAUCCUUGCACACACUCAAAAGCAUUGAUAAAUGCUGAAUUUAAAAGAAUCACUACUGUCUAAUGUUCCUGUGUCACAUGGACCUCCAAUCCAAAAACCUGACGAAACGCUUCUAUCAGAAAGGAGGACAGCUAGCAAAAAGACUUGGAACAAUUAAUGAUCAAAUGACAGAAGGCAUGGAUGAAGUCAGCAUCAGUGAGGUCAUUUGAAGACACCAAUGUUGGGAUUUGUGCUCUCAAACAACAUGCUUCUUGUGAUGAAGAGGAUCUUUGUAUAGUCCUGGAAGGCAUGAAGGUGUUCCAACAUCGUGCCAUGUUGUUUGAGCUGAUGUAUGCCUUAAACCUGAGCUAUCCUGAUCUCCGCUUUAUUUUUGAGGAAAUCCAAAAGAUUUUAAUGGAACUGCAUUGAGAGUAACUUUAACGAACAGUUUCUUUCAGUGAAAGGAUCAGAAAGACUGUGCUGCUCAUUUUCGACUUUGUUUAUCUGUUUUAAGUGUUUUCUCUUAUUAAAACAUUAACAGUUUGCUGCUCAGAGUUGAUUUUGGAAAUGGUUGUUGUAUUUUGUUUUUGUUGAAUCUUUGAUUAACAGUUUAUACAAAUGCUGUAGCUCUGACUUUCUGAAGGAUUGAUAUUUUCCAGUUUGUAAAUCCAUUUAAAAAAUAAUAGUACUUACUGUUUUGCAUGUCUCUUUGGAAUGCAGUGUUUGUGUUUUAGCACUUCUAAAUCUACUGUGAUAGUAACUAUUUUAAACAUUUGGGUCAGUUUCACAGAUGGGGCUUUAUUGCCUUAAUUUGAAAACAUAUUGCACUGACAUAUCUUGACAUAUAUCAGUGCCAUUGUUUUGUCUCAAGAUGUACUCCAGUGUUGUUUUUGUAAGGUAGGUUUGUUUGUAAACUUUUUUUGUAAAAAAUAUACUAAUAUAACUAGGGCCUAGUCAUGGAUUAAUCUACAACCUGUUUGGGAAAUUGCCCCUUUAUGUAUGUACUGCAUGUGCUGAUUGUUGUAAUAGUUAUUGACUGUUAAUGAAUUAAUGUGUAAUGAUGUAAUUGAAUUGAUGAUCUGAAAGCAGUGGUUUGCCUCAAUAUCACUAAACAUUUGUUCAAAACUCUUUGCUUUUUAUGCCAAUGCAAAUGUAUUUUGUAUUUAAAAAAGAAAUAAAUAACAUUUGGAUAAUUAUGGGUGAUUAUUCUGGUGCCAGAGACAUAAUGAAAUUGCUUUAGAGUUACAUAAUCCCAUAAUAUAAGCAUUAAAAAAGCAUGUUAGAGUAAGAGAUGAAAAUCUAGUCCCCUUACAUAAUAAAAUUACUUAAACAUUA